rnacentral:rRNA from 1 species
UACAGAGGGGGCAAGCGUUGUCCGGAAUUACUGGGCGUACAGCGCGCGCAGGCGGUUGCCGACGUGCCGUGUGACGAGCGGGGGCUCAACCCCCGAGGGCCACGGUAAACGGGGCGACUGGAGGACGGGAGAGGGAUGUGGAAUGCCCGGUGGAGCGGUGAAAUGCGUAGAGAUCGGGCGGAACACCAGCGGCGAAGGCGGCAUCCUGGCCCUGACCUGACGCUGAGGCGCGAUAGCGUGGGGAGCAAACGGG